rnacentral:rRNA from 1 species
UACGUAGGGGGCAAGCGUUGUCCGGAAUCACUGGGCGUAAAGCGCACGUAGGCGGAUCUUUAAGUCAGGGGUGAAAUCCUGGAGCUCAACUCCAGAACUGCCUUUGAUACUGAGGAUCUUGAGUCCGGGAGAGGUGAGUGGAACUCCGAGUGUAGAGGUGAAAUUCGUAGAUAUUCGGAAGAACACCAGUGGCGAAGGCGGCUCACUGGCCCGGUACUGACGCUGAGGUGCGAAAGCAUGGGGAGCGAACAGG